rnacentral:rRNA from 1 species
AUACGGAGGAUGCGAGCGUUAUCCGGAUUCAUUGGGUUUAAAGGGUGCGUAGGCGGAAGGAUAAGUCAGGGGUGAAAGUUUGCCGCUCAACGGUAAAAUUGCCUUUGAUACUGUUUUUCUUGAGUGAAUGCGAGGUAUGCGGAAUGAGUAGUGUAGCGGUGAAAUGCUUAGAUAUUACUCAGAACACCGAUUGCGAAGGCAGCAUACUAGAGUUUAACUGACGCUGAUGCACGAAAGCGUGGGUAGCGAACAGAAUUAGAUACCCUAGUAGUCC